rnacentral:rRNA from 1 species
CCUACGGGGUGCAGCAGUGAGGAAUAUUGGUCAAUGGCCGCAGGGCUGAACCAGCCAAGUCGCGUGAGGGAUGACGGUCCUAUGGAUUGUAAACCUCUUUUGUCAGGGAGCAAAGGGCGCCACGUGUGGCGUUUUGCGAGUACCUGAAGAAAAAGCAUCGGCUAACUCCGUGCCAGCAGCCGCGGUAAUACGGAGGAUGCGAGCGUUAUCCGGAUUUAUUGGGUUUAAAGGGUGCGGAGGCGGAGAGUAAAUUCAGCGGGAAAAUUUCGGGGCUCAACCCCGUCGUUCCGUUGAUACUGGCGUUCUUGAGUGAACGAGAGGUAUGCGGAAGGCAUGGUGUAGCGGUGAAAUGCAUAGAUAUCACGCAGAACUCCGAUUGCGAAGGCAGCAUACCGGCGCUCAACUGACGCUCAUGCACGAAAGCGUGGGUAUCGAACAGGAUUAGAUACCCCAGUAGUC